AUACGAAGGGGGCUAGCGUUGUUCGGAAUUACUGGGCGUAAAGCGCGCGUAGGCGGAUUGGUCAGUUAGGGGUGAAAUCCCAGGGCUUAACCCUGGAACUGCCUCUAAUACUGCCAGUCUUGAGUUCGUGAGAGGUGAGUGGAAUUCCUAGUGUAGAGGUGAAAUUCGUAGAUAUUAGGAAGAACACCAGUGGCGAAGGCGGCUCACUGGCCCGAUACUGACGCUGAGGCGCGAAAGCGUGGGGAGCAAACAGAAUUAGAAACCCUUGUAGUCC
rnacentral:rRNA from 1 species